GAUGAACGCUGACAGAAUGCUUAACACAUGCAAGUCAACUUGAACUUCGGUUUGGGUGGCGGACGGGUGAGUAACGCGUAAAGAACUUGCCUCACAGAUAGGGACAACAUUUGGAAACGAAUGCUAAUACCUGAUAUUAUGAUUUUAGGGCAUCCUAGAAUUAUGAAAGCUAUAUGCGCUGUGAGAGAGCUUUGCGUCCCAUUAGCUAGUUGGAGAGAUAACAGCUCACCAAGGCGAUGAUGGGUAGCCGGCCUGAGAGGGUGACCGGCCACAAGGGGACUGAGACACGGCCCUUACUCCUACGGGAGGCAGCAGUGGGGAAUAUUGGACAAUGGACCGAGAGUCUGAUCCAGCAAUUCUGUGUGCACGAUGAAGUUUUUCGGAAUGUAAAGUGCUUUCAGUUGGGAAGAAAAAAAUGACGGUACCAACAGAAGAAGUGACGGCUAAAUACGUGCCAGCAGCCGCGGUAAUACGUAUGUCACGAGCGUUAUCCGGAUUUAUUGGGCGUAAAGCGCGUCUAGGUGGUUAUGUAAGUCUGAUGUGAAAAUGCAGGGCUCAACUCUGUAUUGCGUUGGAAACUGUAUAACUAGAGUACUGGAGAGGUAAGCGGAACUACAAGUGUAGAGGUGAAAUUCGUAGAUAUUUGUAGGAAUGCCGAUGGGGAAGCCAGCUUACUGGACAGAUACUGACGCUAAAGCGCGAAAGCGUGGGUAGCAAACAGG
rnacentral:rRNA from 1 species